rnacentral:rRNA from 1 species
GACGAACGCNGGCGGCGUGCUUAACACAUGCAAGUCGAACGAAGAGCGAUGGAAGCUUGCUUCUAUCAAUCUUAGUGGCGAACGGGUGAGUAACGCGUAAACAACCUGCCCUUCAGAGGGGGACAACAGUUGGAAACGACUGCUAGUACCGCAUACGAUCUAAUCUCGGCAUCGAGGAAAGAUGAAAGGUGGCCUCUACAUGUAAGCUAUCACUGAAGGAGGGGAUUGCGUCUGAUUAGCUAGUUGGAGGGGUAACGGCCCACCAAGGCGAUGAUCAGUAGCCGGUCUGAGAGGAUGAACGGCCACAUUGGGACUGAGACACGGCCCAGACUCCUACGGGAGGCAGCAGUGGGGAAUCUUCCGCAAUGGACGAAAGUCUGACGGAGCAACGCCGCGUGAGUGAUGACGGCCUUCGGGUUGUAAAGCUCUGUUAAUCGGGACGAAAGGCCUUCUUGCAAAUAGNGAGAAGGAUGAC